UCUUGCACUUUUCAGAUUACUACAAUAAUGUUAUUUCUGGAGUAGGUAAGAUAUGGAUCUGCUUAUUUUUAUUUAUUUUUUUAAACCAUCAACUUUUCUUCCUUUCACCCCAAUUUCUUACAUCAUCUACCUAUAAUCUGCUGACUGUAUAUAUUGGAUAUCAUCUUCCUACUAUAUGAAGGGCUGAAAUUGGGACUCUGUUUACUAUUUAGAACAAAUAUAAUAUCUGCAAUUUCUUCUGUGUUUUAUAGGUAGCGGUUUUGGCAUCAUCAGUAUCAUUUUAGUUUCAUUGUGUAUUGUUGUAAUCAUACGUAGAAGGAACAGGCAAGUAUAUGUUCAAUAAAUACAGAGCACUCAGUACAAAUAUGUAUAAUUCUAUAAUAAAAACCUUGUUCCAAAAUGCAUGGAAAAAUGUAAGUUUAAAAGAAGGAAAAGAGUAGAAACCAUUAAACAAAAACAAAAAAACACGUAUCUAUCACAAAAACACAGUGGCACAUACACACACUGACACACUCAGACACACACAUUGACAUACAAACACACUGAUACACACUGACACAUACACACACACACUUAGGUACACACAGUGACACAUACACAAACAUUGACACACUCAGAAACACAAUCUCUUUUACAGACAAACACACAUAUAAACACAUAUACACUCUCACUGGCAAGAACAGAUACAUUCUCACUGACAAACACAUACACUCUCACACACUCACUGACAAGCACACGUUCACUGACAAACACACACAAUUAUUUUGCUGUUGGGUGGCUGGCAAGAAGUCCCUGGGGUCCAGUGGGGCUUGGCAUGGAGUCCAAUGGGGCUGCUGAGCGGCUGGCUUGCAGGCGGCAAGGGAGCAGUGAUCUAUUCACAUGGCUCUUUGUGAUGCCGGAGCUGGAGUGACCUCAUAUUCUGGCUCCGGCAUCACUGCAGUGCACGCGAGGGAGCUGAGCAGGGAGAUCACUGCCCACUGCUUCCUUGCCGCCCGCGGCCAUUUUAUUUUUAAAAACCCUAGGUUUCCUUGGAACACCAAUUGGGAAACGAUGUGUUAAAACAAAGGACCACAGAAGCUGAUGGCCUGCAAUUCCCAGAAUUCUCUAAAUGCACUACAGUUAGGUCAUGAAAUAUUUAGACACAAUUUUCCUAAUUUUGGCUCUGUAUACCACUUACAAUGGAUAUGAAAUGAAACAACCGAGAUGCAAUUGAAGUGCAGACUUUCAGAUUUAAAUCAAGGGGCUGAACAAAAAUAUGAAAUGUUUAGGAAUUGCAACCAUUUUCAUACACCGUUCCUUUAUUUCAUGGGCUCAAAUGUAAUUGGACAAUAAAUGCAAUUAUAAAUAAAAUUUUAGUUUGUAAUACUUUGAAUCCUUUGCAUACAAUGACUGCUUAAAGUCUGGAAUUUAUGGACAUCACCAAACGCUGGGUUUCCUUCUAUGUGUUGCUUUGGCAAGCCUUUACAGCAGCUGUCUUCAGUUGUUGUUUGUGGGUCUUUCUACCUUAAGUUUUAUCUUCAGCAAGUGAAAUGCAUGCUCGAUCAGGUUGAGAUCAGGUGAUGAAUCCAUUGCAGAAUAUACCACUUCUUUGCCAUAAACUCCUGGGUUGCUUUUGCUGUACAUUUUGGGUUAUUGUCCAUCUGCAAAGGGUUGCACCGUUCAAUCAACUUUGCUGAGUUUGGCUGAAUAUAUCCAUACACCUCAGAAUUAAUCCAGCUGCUUCUGUCUUCUGUCACAUAAUCAAUAAACACUAGUGACCAAGUGAGAUUGGAAGCCAUGCAUGACCAUGCCAUGCCAUCACACUGCCUCCACUGUCUUUUACAGAUUAUGUGGAAUGCUUCGGAUCAUGAGCCAUUCCAAGCCUACUCCAUACUUUUUUUCUGCCCAUCAUUUUGAAACUGGUUGAUCUUAGUUUCAUCUGUCCAAAUAAUGCUGUUUUGAACUGGGUUGGCCUUUUUAGAUGUUGUCUAACAUGGCCUUUCUAUUCUUGAGGCUUAUUAAUGAUUUGCACCUUGUGGUGAACCCUCUGUAUUUGUGAAGUGUUCUCUUUAUGGUAGGCUUUAUGGUAGACUUGGAUUAUAAUAUGCCUACCUCCUGGAGAGAGUUCUUCACUUGGCUGGAUGUUGUGAAGAGGUUUUUCUUUACCAUUGAAAGAAUCCUAUAAUCAUCCACCAAUGUUGUUUUCUGUGGACGUCCAGGCCUUUUUGUGUUGUAGAGUUCAUCAGUAGACAUGUGCAAUUCAUUUCAGUACGAAUAUAAAUUGGGACGAAUUUCGACAUUUCAACUCUUCCGAAUUUCGGAAGUGCCAAACCGAAAUGAAUUGCCAAAUUUCAGAAGUGACGAAGUGCUUUGGAUUUCUGAAAAGUGGCAAAACAGUUGUUUUUGCAGCCCGAGGAUGGCCUGUUUCACUUGCAUUGACAGCUCCUUUAUAGCAUGUUGUGGGAUCACAGCAACAGCUUCUAUAUGUGAAUACCACACCUGGAAUUAACUCCAGACCCUUUACCUGCUUAAUUGAUGAAGUAAUAAGGUAGGAAUAGCCCACACUUGUCCAUGAAACAGCUUUUGAGUCAACUGUCCAAUUACUUUUAGUCCCUUGAAAAAGAGUUGUAAUUCCUAAACCCUUCCUCAAAUUUAGAUGUGAAUACCCCCAAAUUAAAGAUAAGAGACUGCAAUUUAAGCCCAUAUUCACAACUUAACUGUAACUUGAAUGUAUUUUGGUUAACACAACACACUAAUGGGAAUGAUCUCUUUCUGCCCCAGAGAGAUACAUAAUACAAGAUCCAGUGCACUCAUUCACUAAACACCAACUUCAAAGCUCACAGUUGUAAUCGUUUAUUUUUUAACACCUGAGCAAAAUUUGGGCAAAAAUAAUGGGGAUUAAGUUACAGUAUAUGAUCAUACAUUGCAUAAGGUACCCUAUUUUUGGCAGGUCCUAUUCUAGCAACAUAAAGCCUGCUAUUAUAAGAUUAACCAAUUUACUUUGAAAAUCCGUUCUCCUGGGGCUCUCUAGUGCAAUGUUAAAUAGAGCCCUGGAAUAAAGCGCCUUUUACAGAGAUGGGUGCAAAGUCACAGGAGUUGAUAUUGUCUCUCAAAUAUAUUUACUUAUGAAACCAAGAAGGCUACACUCACCUAUGCAUGCAUACAAGAAACAAAAAUCAGGCUGCCUAUAGUUGAUCCGCAUCUACAAAACACUGGACUUUGAGAUUUGUUUUGUUACAAACAGCAAUUUGUCCACAUUGGGGCCACCGGGUGAUCAUCAGAAUUCUGAUUUCUGAACCACCACAUAGAUUAAUCACAAAACAAAUGACUCAUGCAAUAGAUGAGCAUGUUUGUUUGAUAUAUGAUUGGAGUUCUGCCUAUUGCUACAAAAAAUAAAAAAAUAUAUGAUUGAUGGAAAUAAAUAUGGUUAAUUUUAUUCACUGAUCAAGUAAGAAGUGACCAACAGAGGGGGAAAGACAAGGAGGAACUAUAUAUAUAUAUAUAUAUAUAUUAUAUAUAUAUAUAUAUAUAUAUAUAUAUAUAUAUAUAUAUAUAUAUAUAUAUAUAUAUAUAUAUAUAUAUAUAUAUAUAUAUAUAUAUAUAUAUAUAUUGUAUAUCUGUAGAUAUAGUACUGCUCUUUUUAUCCCUCUAUUGGUUCCUUUUUCACAUUUGUUCUAUAAAAAUGAUGGGAAAAUGUGCCUAUUUGUACUGCAAAAUAUAUACUACAUUUUUCAGAAUUUAAGACCAACCCAUAAAUUCUAACCAGAAAGUUAGGGAAAAAUUAAAACAACCUACAAUUACAGUAUACUUUAGCUUAUGUGUAGUAUAUAAUAAAUACAGUGUGUAUGGGGAUGUAUUGUGUAUGUGUGUAUGUGAAUGUAGUGUGUGCGUAGGGGAUGUAGUGUGUAUAGUGAAAGCAGCAUGUAUGUGAUAAUUUAUAGGGUGAGUUAGUGGCUGUGUUAUUGGAAGGUGACAGAGUUUCAGUUACUUUUUUUUUUUUUUUACUUUUUUUUCUUCUCUUUAUUAAAGGACCACUAUAGUGCCAGGAAAGCAUACUCGUUUUCCUGGCACUAUAGUGCCCUGAGGGUGCCCCCACCCUCAGGGACCCCCUCCCGCCAGGCUCUGGAAAGGGGAAAGGGGUUUAAACUUACCUUUUUCCAGUGCUGGGCGGAGAGCUCUCCUCCUUCUCUCCGCCUCCGUUCCUCCCCGCCGGCUGAAUGCGCACGCGCGGCAAGAGCUGCGUGCGCAUUCAGCCGGUCACAUAGGAAAGCAUUUACAAUGCUUUCCUAUGGACGCUGGCGUGCUCUCACUGUGAAAAUCACAGUGAGAAGCACGCAAGCGCCUCUAGUGGCUGUCAAUGAGACAGCCACUAGAGGAUUAGGGGGAAGGCUUAACCCAUUCAUAAACAUAGCAGUUUCUCUGAAACUGCUAUGUUUAUUAAAAAAUGGGUUAACCCUAGCUGGACCUGGCACCCAGACCACUUCAUUAAGCUGAAGUGGUCUGGGUGCCUAGAGUGGUCCUUUAAAGUUUAUUCCCGCAUCUCUGCUUCUUACCAUCCCUCUGACCAGGGAAUAAGGCACAACAUUCCCUCAUGGUCCAUUGGUCCAUGAUGGUGUAGGUCAGGGAUAGGCCACCUUUGGCACUUCAGAUGUUGUGGACUACAUCCCCCAUAAUGCUCUUACACCCAUAAUGCUGGCGAGGUGCAGUCCAAAACAUCUGGAGUGCCAAAAGUUGCCUAUGUCUGGUCUAAGUAAUGAAUGCUGCACCACUGCCAGAGGCAAACUCUGCUUGCCAGCCCUGGCAUUGAUCAGUGUCGGAGAGUUGCCAUGCUAACCUGCAGGAAUGCUUUGACCUGCCGAAGCUCACGAGAGAGAACUGAAGACAGAGAGUCUCAUAAGCUCCCCCUGCUGCAGUGACCGAGUGAGGGAGACAUAUAUAUGCAUGGAGCAACUUCCAACUCUCCAUCCACUGCAAGAGGUGAAGUCAACGUAUGUGUAGUGUGCUUGUGUGUGUGUGUCAAUACACUAUCUGUAGUGAGUUGUGUGUGUGUGUGUACCACUGAUCAUUCUGUGUGUGUAAAUUGUAUACACACAUUCGGCAUAGAGGACGCGGGCAAAUGUUGGGGUAAAAAACGGUGUCCUAUAUUCCAAAAAGUAAGGUACAAAAUAUUUAUAUUUGUAUAUAUUUUGCUGUACAAUAAUUGCACUACUUUCAUGCACUUUUAGCUCAUCUGAUUUUUUUUCACAAAUCUUAUUGGCUGGAUGUAAUUUUGAUACAUGAAAUCUUGCUAUCCCCAAAAUGUUUAUUAUUUUUGGAUAAAGUGGUUUGUCCAAAACAAAUUUUUGCACCGUACACAAGUCUACAAAAGAGCGAAUGAGGCUGUGGAUAAACAGAGAGUAGCAGUGGUAUGGCCUAUGCUAUAUCUUAACUGGAAUGAUAACUGAAACUGAUCUUUGGGGAUAUACUACUUAUAUUAUAAUCCUUUUUUGAACAUAUGUAUUUAAGUUGGAUUGAAUUAUAUUUUUAUAUAUGUAUGUAUAUACAUCAAAGCCAAUCCAAGUUUAGAAGAAAGAUGUAUAUACAUGAGAAAUAACAAUCAAUAGUUAGUAUUGGUUUAUUUAUUUCCAACACAGACAUUUUUUGUAUUGUAUACAGAAAGGGUAGGGCCCCCAAAAAUGUAGACAUGCAUAUGUCAAUAUAUUUUUUAGCGCCAUCAAAUUCUGCAGCGCUUUACAAUGGGUGGACAAACAGACAAGUAGUUGUAACCAGACAAGUUGGACACACAGGAACAGAGGGGUUGAGGGCCCUGCUCAAUGAGCUUACAUGCUAGAGGGAGAGGAGUAAAGUGACACAAAAAGGUAAGGAUAAUAUUAGACUAGUGACAGUUGCAAAAGAGGAAUCAUUCGGGAGCUAACAGUUUAAUUGAUUCGCUUUUAUGAAGAAGUGGGAUUUUAAUGAUUUUUUGAAGGAGUGGAGACUGGGUGAGCAUCUAACGGAAGAGGAAAGCGAGUUCCACAGGAACGGUGCAGCCCUCGAGAAGUCUUGAAGGCGAGCAUCAGAGGUGGGAGUACGGGCAGAAUAUAGACGUACGUUUUCAGCAGAUCGUAAGGGCAUAGACGGGACAUACUUGUGUAUUAGGGAGGAUAGAUAGGUGGGAGCAGCAUUAUGUAGAGAUUUGACAUUUUUGCAAUAAUUUGACAAUAAUUUUAACAUAGUUUAUUGAAUUUAGAAUUUGUAGAAAUAGUUGUACUAAUGCCUGUAUGCUUUAUUUUUUAUCUCUAACUCAGAAAUAGGCAAACAUGUACUGAAGGCAAUGAAGUAGAGCUGACAACUUUCAUGUCUGCCGAGCAAGGUGCAACAAGAAGAGAGGAAUGAGGACAUAUGCUAUUAUAUUAUAUAAUUUACCAACAUGAGAAUGAUCAAUAGGAAUUCCGUCCACUCUGAAAACAGUCUCAUGUUUUCACAACUUAUUGCUAUCAGUUCCUUGCCUUUGGAGAAGACAUUUGUUACAUAGGCUGAGAAGAAUAUAGAUACUUAUGUAAAGAAAAAACGAAUGUGGCUCUGUAAUGUUGAAGUGAGUGGUCAGCAACAUCAUUUAGUAGACCACUGGUUCUCAAGUCCAUUAUUCAAGAUACAGAACUUUCAAAUAAACUUGAAGUAUAACAGAUCAUUGACAGCAGGACUGAGUUAAAGCCAGUUAAAACAUGACUUUCUAAGUUAUGAUAAAACACUCGAUUGAGAGAAUUCUCAUUCCUGUAUAUUUUUUAUUCAAAGAAGCAUUCUAUUUAUUGAAUAUGUUGACUUAGAAGAAAAGGCGUGGUUCCCCUGAAGAACAAAUGAUUAUGAUGUUUAAUUUACAAAAUGAUCUCAAUUCUCUACUGUAUUAUGUCAUCUAGACUGCUACUUUGAAGAUCUGUUCUCAAUGAGUGCAAAGGAGGAAUUUCACUGUAUAAUAUUCUCAGUCUAUACACAUACCCUCAAUAUAGUGACAUUAAUCUUUUUAGCAUGUUACACAUGUAUAUAAGAAGUACAAGUGAGAUGCAGCAGAGUAUGGAGGAAAGGGAGAGUAAAGAGUUUAGGUCACUACGACUGACCAACAGCAAUCAUAUCAUCCCAAAGAAUUUGCUUAUUCCUCUGAAAGCUUUUGCUGGGUCAAUGUAUGCAGGUUUAUCACAUCAUAUCUCUCUUCAGUUUCAUAGCAUCUUGCAGCACCUUUAUGUAUAUCAUAUAAUUUUAUAAAUGAACUGAACACUACUGGUUACCAUGGCAUUACAAAAAAUAUCUUUUGGAGAAAAAAAAAACUGCUUUAUUUUAGAGGGUAUUGCAGAUACAUAUAUGUAUGUUAAUAAAUCCAUGUGCUUAAUGUAGCCUUAUAAAUAUCCAAUAUAAAAAAAUAGUACUUCUAGUGUCCUUACAAUUAAACUUUUAUUCCAUAAUGCAAAUACAGAAGGAAGAAAAGUAGCGAGGGGAGCUGAAACAUUGACCGUAUUGACACUACGGAAUACAGGAUCUUACUUAUAUGAAUUCCUGUAGUUCUGUUUUUUUUUACAUUGGUAUCAACAAUCAUUUUGCAGCACUACAUCAGGUGAAGGUAGAUGUGUAAACAUGUAAAGUGGUUCACAUAAACUGUUUUGUUCCCUCCACAAAACGCCCACUAUACAUACCAGGACUGUGCUCCUUUCUUGUUUUUAUUUUAGUUGAAAACAGACAGUGAGUGCAGCAUACAGACACUGUCAUGCUAUCAUAGACACACAAAUUGAAUACCACAUUGAACAGUCAGACUAAAAUAAACAAUUUCAUUUCCAAUUUACUAUUAUUCAAAGUAUAGUAAAUAUAUAAACCCCCUGGUUUAUUUAAAAAUAUUUUUAGAUACUCUUAGUUCUGCUGGACAUGUCAUUGAGAUGGAUAGUCUAACUGAAAAUGUAGCAAUAUGCUGUAUGCUAUUUUGGGAUUAAUGCAUAUUUGUUUUAGUCACAUAUACAAUUGUAUAUAUAUAUAUAGCAGCAUGGAGCCCACAUUAUUGACCUAUAAAGACAUUAUAAGAUGUAUUACUAACUGGAUUUGAGUUAGAACCAAUAUCUCGGACAUGACUGGUUAUUUACUAAACUGGGUAUUAUCAAGAAUUCAAUGUCAAUUCACAGUGAAUUUCAAGUUUAAAGCCUCUAUAUAUUUCCUUGAAUUGUAAAAAAAAAAAAAAACACCAACAAAUCGACAAGUCAGCUAUGCUUCUAGUUCAGUUAUUUCAGAAUAAAGUUUGAACUUCAUGUUGAAUGCAUGACAAUUCUCACGUUAGUCCAUAUUAACCCUGAAGAAUAACUUGGUUGUAGACAUAUGUGAAUGGAAAUCGUAUGAGGAGCUUGUUUUGUAUCAAAACUGUCUGAUUAGCCUUUUCUAACUAGCUUGAACAGCAAAUAUUUUCCCCACAGUAUUAUGUAAAAUAGAAUUUAUUAUACAUUAUAAUAAUGUGUCAUGCUUACAAUCUGGUGUAUUAAAAAAAUUUGUAGAUAAACAUCUGCUGUGAGCCCCUCAAAUUGCUUUUGAGUGGAUUUAUUCAAUCUAGAAUUUUAAUGUCACAAUAAUAUGAUAAUAAUCAGUUGAAUGGAUCUGAACAAG